GAGCGGAAAGGCCCUUCGGGGUACUCGAGCGGCGAACGGGUGAGUAACACGUGAGCAACCUGCCCCUAGCUCUGGGAUAGCUCCGGGAAACCGGGAUUAAUACCAGAUACGACCACUUUAGACAUCUGCUGUGGUGGAAAGGAUUCCGGCUAGGGAUGGGCUCGCGGCCUAUCAGCUUGUUGGUGGGGUAACGGCCUACCAAGGCGACGACGGGUAGCCGGCCUGAGAGGGCGACCGGCCACACUGGGACUGAGACACGGCCCAGACUCCUACGGGAGGCAGCAGUGGGGAAUAUUGCGCAAUGGGCGAAAGCCUGACGCAGCGACGCCGCGUGGGGGAUGAAGGCCUUCGGGUUGUAAACCCCUUUCAGCAGGGACGAAGCGAAAGUGACGGUACCUGCAGAAGAAGCGCCGGCUAACUACGUG
rnacentral:rRNA from 1 species